ACACGUGGUAUCCUGUCUGAAUAUGGGGGGACCAUCCUCCAAGGCUAAAUACUCCUGACUGACCGAUAGUGAACCAGUACCGUGAGGGAAAGGCGAAAAGAACCCCGGCGAGGGGAGUGAAAAAGAACCUGAAACCGUGUACGUACAAGCAGUGGGAGCACGCUUAGGCGUGUGACUGCGUACCUUUUGUAUAAUGGGUCAGCGACUUAUAUUCUGUAGCAAGGUUAACCGAAUAGGGGAGCCGAAGGGAAACCGAGUCUUAACUGGGCGUUAAGUUGCAGGGUAUAGACCCGAAACCCGGUGAUCUAGCCAUGGGCAGGUUGAAGGUUGGGUAACACUAACUGGAGGACCGAACCGACUAAUGUUGAAAAAUUAGCGGAUGACUUGUGGCUGGGGGUGAAAGGCCAAUCAAACCGGGAGAUAGCUGGUUCUCCCCGAAAGCUAUUUAGGUAGCGCCUCGUGAAUUCAUCUCCGGGGGUAGAGCACUGUUUCGGCAAGGGGGUCAUCCCGACUUACCAACCCGAUGCAAACUGCGAAUACCGGAGAAUGUUAUCACGGGAGACACACGGCGGGUGCUAACGUCCGUCGUGAAGAGGGAAACAACCCAGACCGCCAGCUAAGGUCCCAAAGUCAUGGUUAAGUGGGAAACGAUGUGGGAAGGCCCAGACAGCCAGGAUGUUGGCUUAGAAGCAGCCAUCAUUUAAAGAAAGCGUAAUAGCUCACUGGUCGAGUCGGCCUGCGCGGAAGAUGUAACGGGGCUAAACCAUGCAC
rnacentral:rRNA from 1 species